AUUGAACGCUGGCGGCAUGCCUAACACAUGCAAGUCGAACGGCAGCACAGGGGAGCUUGCUCCCUGGGUGGCGAGUGGCGGACGGGUGAGUAAUACAUCGGGACCUACCCAUGACGUGGGGGAUAACCUCGGGAAACCGGGACUAAUACCGCAUACGUCCUACGGGAGAAAGCGGGGGACCUUCGGGCCUCGCGCGUCUG
rnacentral:rRNA from 1 species